AGCGAACGCUGGCGGCAGGCCUAACACAUGCAAGUCGAACGAACUCUUCGGAGUUAGUGGCGGACGGGUGAGUAACACGUGGGAACGUGCCUUUAGGUUCGGAAUAACUCAGGGAAACUUGUGCUAAUACCGAAUGUGCCCUUCGGGGGAAAGAUUUAUCGCCUUUAGAGCGGCCCGCGUCUGAUUAGCUAGUUGGUGAGGUAAAGGCUCACCAAGGCGACGAUCAGUAGCUGGUCUGAGAGGAUGAUCAGCCACAUUGGGACUGAGACACGGCCCAAACUCCUACGGGAGGCAGCAGUGGGGAAUCUUGCGCAAUGGGCGAAAGCCUGACGCAGCCAUGCCGCGUGAAUGAUGAAGGUCUUAGGAUUGUAAAAUUCUUUCACCGGGGACGAUAAUGACGGUACCCGGAGGGGAAGCCCCGGCUAACUUCGUGCCAGCCGCCGCGGUAA
rnacentral:rRNA from 1 species